rnacentral:rRNA from 1 species
AUGUAAUGUAAUUCCUAAAACUUUAAUUCAUCGGAUCUCAAUAGAAAUCCCUAGUUAAAUGUGCUUGAGAUAGAGUAGUACUAGGAUGGGUGACCUCCCAAGAAGUCCUAGUGUUUUACAUG